rnacentral:rRNA from 1 species
GACGAACGCUGGCGGCGUGCUUAACACAUGCAAGUCGAACGGAAAGGCCCUGCUUUUGUGGGGUGCUCGAGUGGCGAACGGGUGAGUAACACGUGAGUAACCUGCCCUUGACUUUGGGAUAACUUCAGGAAACUGGGGCUAAUACCGGAUAGGAGCUCCUGCUGCAAGGUGGGGGUUGGAAAGUUUCGGCGGUUGGGGAUGGACUCGCGGCUUAUCAGCUUGUUGGUGGGGUAGUGGCUUACCAAGGCUUUGACGGGUAGCCGGCCUGAGAGGGUGACCGGCCACAUUGGGACUGAGAUACGGCCCAGACUCCUACGGGAGGCAGAAGUGGGGAAUAUUGCACAAUGGGCGGAAGCCUGAUGCAGCAACGCCGCGUGCGGGAUGACGGCCUUCGGGUUGUAAACCGCUUUCGCCUGUGACGAAGCGUGAGUGACGGUAAUGGGUAAAGAAGCACCGGCUAACUACGUG